rnacentral:rRNA from 1 species
UACGUAGGGUGCAAGCGUUGUCCGGAAUUAUUGGGCGUAAAGAGCUCGUAGGCGGUUUGUCGCGUCUGCUGUGAAAACUCGAGGCUCAACCUCGGGCCUGCAGUGGGUACGGGCAGACUAGAGUGCGGUAGGGGAGAUUGGAAUUCCUGGUGUAGCGGUGGAAUGCGCAGAUAUCAGGAGGAACACCAAUGGCGAAGGCAGAUCUCUGGGCCGUAACUGACGCUGAGGCGCGAAAGCCAGGGGAGCAAACGGG